rnacentral:lncRNA from 1 species
CUGUGAUGUUGUGUCGAUGCAUGUAGGUCAUGUACUACUUGGAUGACCAUAGUAGUAUAACAGUAGGAUUAAUCAUGAUGGUAGGAAAAAAUCAUUAUUCCUUGCAUCUAAAUAGUCUGAAUCAUGUUCUUACACUAUUGUCCAUGAAGGAGGUGUAUGAAGACCAAAUCAAGAUCAAGAGGUCCUUUAAUGAUUUUUUAGGGAAAAAAAUGAAAAGGAG